UACAGAGGGUGCGAGCGUUGUCCGGAAUUACUGGGCGUAAAGCGCACGUAGGCGGCUACUCAAGUCAGAGGUGAAAGCCCGGGGCUCAACCCCGGAACUGCCUUUGAAACUAGGUAGCUAGAAUCCUGGAGAGGUCAGUGGAAUUCCGAGUGUAGAGGUGAAAUUCGUAGAUAUUCGGAAGAACACCAGUGGCGAAGGCGACUUACUGGACACAUAUUGACGCUGAGGUGCGAAAGCGUGGGGAGCAAACAGG
rnacentral:rRNA from 1 species